rnacentral:misc_RNA from 1 species
GAUGAAGAACGUAGCGAAAUGCGAUAAGUAAUGUGAAUUGCAGGAUUCAGUGAAUCAUCGAAUCUUUGAACGCACAUUGCGCCCGCCAGUAUUCUGGCGGGCAUGCCUGUUCGAGCGUCAUUACAACCCUCAGGCCCCCGGGCCUGGCGUUGGGGAUCGGCGGAGCCCCCCGUGGGCACACGCCGUCCCCCAAAUACAGUGGCGGUCCCGCCGCAGCUUCCAUCGCGUAGUAGCUAACACCUCGCGACUGGAGAGCGGCGCGGCCACGCCGUAAAACACCCAACUCUUCUGAAGUUGACCUCGAAUCAGGUAGGAAUACCCGCUGAACUUAAGCAUAUCAAUAAGCGGAGGA